AUACUCACUUUGGCAGCACAUACACUAAAAUUGGAAUGAUGCAGAGAUUAGCAUGGGCCCUGCACAAGCACAAUAUGCCAACUCAUGGAGCAUCCCGUAACUGU
ensembl:snRNA U6 U6 spliceosomal RNA